rnacentral:rRNA from 2 species
CCUACGGGAGGCAGCAGUGGGGAAUUUUCCGCAAUGGGCGAAAGCCUGACGGAGCAAUACAGCGUGAGGGAAGACUGCCUAUGGGUUGUAAACCUCUUUUUUCAGGGAGGAAUAAAUGACGUGUACCUGAAGAAUAAGCAUCGGCUAACUCCGUGCCAGCAGCCGCGGUAAU